AGCUUUAUAUUCAAUAAUGAUAUAAAAUUGCAAAUUUUAUGGCGUAUUAAUUAAAUUACUAAGGCUA
rnacentral:tRNA from 1 species